rnacentral:rRNA from 1 species
UACAGAGGGGGCAAGCGUUGUUCGGAAUUACUGGGCGUAAAGGGCGUGUAGGCGGUCUGUCGCGUCGAAUGUGAAACCCCGAGGCUCAACCUCGGGUCUGCAUUCGAUACGGGCAGACUAGAGUUCGGUAGGGGAGUCUGGAAUUCCUGGUGUAGCGGUGAAAUGCGCAGAUAUCAGGAGGAACACCGGUGGCGAAGGCGGGACUCUGGGCCGAUACUGACGCUGAGGAGCGAAAGCGUGGGGAGCGAACAGG